AGCCAUAGCUCAGUAGUAGAGCAUCUGCUUUGCACACAGAAGGUCCCAGGUUCAGUCCCCAGGAUCUCCUGGUAGGGCUG